CACCCUGAACCUGCCCGAUCUCAUCUGAUCUCGGAAGCUAAGUGGGGUCGGACCCGGUUAGUACUUGGAUGGGAGA
rnacentral:rRNA from 1 species